AAGGAGCAUCUAGCUGCCGCAAGGCAGCCAGAGCCACUACGCAGACAAACGUUCUGCGGUGGUCAGCUCAUGGGUGGAACGUUGAUUAUUCGGCACACUUGACCGUCUUCAUCUUCCUGGUACUGCUUCGGCGUGGAACGGAUGAAUGAAGAGGUGAGGGUGCCGGGCACGCUGUUGGGUGUCUGAGGGUAUGGCCGUGACGGUCGCCUUCAGUGCCGGCCCCAGUGAACUCCGGUUGUUGCCGGGGGUGAUGGGUGGUUGGUCGUUGUUUGAGAACUGCACAGUGGACGCGAGCAUCUGUGG
rnacentral:misc_RNA from 1 species